CGCGUAGGCGGUCGGACCGAGUCGAGUGUGAAAGCCCCGGGCUCAACCUGGGAGGUGCGCUCGAGACUGGCCCGCUGGGAGUUCGGGAGAGGAGAGCGGAAUUCCCAGUGUAGAGGUGAAAUUCGUAGAUAUUGGGAAGAACACCGGUGGCGAAGGCGGCUCUCUGGACCGAGACUGACGCUGAGGCGCGAAAGCGUGGGGAGCAAACAGGAUUAGAUACCCUGGUAGUCCACGCUGUAAACGAUGUGUGCUAGACGUUGGGGAGCGUAGCUCUUCGGUGUCGCCGCAAACGCUUUAAGCACACCGCCUGGGGAGUACGGCCGCAAGGUUAAA
rnacentral:rRNA from 1 species